rnacentral:rRNA from 1 species
AUUGAACGCUCGCGGCAUGCUUUACACAUGCAAGUCGGACGGCAGCACAGAGAAGCUUGCUUCUUGGGUGGCGAGUGGCGAACGGGUGAGUAACAUAUCGGAACGUACCGAGCAGUGGGGGAUAACUAAUCGAAAGAUUAGCUAAUACCGCAUAUAUUCUGAGGAAGAAAGCAGGGGACCAUUUGGCCUUGCGCUGUUUGAGCGGCCGAUAUCUGAUUAGCUAGUUGGUGGGGUAAAGGCCUACCAAGGCGACGAUCAGUAGCGGGUCUGAGAGGAUGAUCCGCCACACUGGGACUGAGACACGGCCCAGACUCCUACGGGAGGCAGCAGUGGGGAAUUUUGGACAACGGGCGCAAGCCUGAUCCAGCCAUGCCGCGUGUCUGAAGAAGGCCUUCGGGUUGUAAAGGACUUUUGUCAGGGAAGAAAAGGGUGGGGUUAAUACCCCUGUCUGAUGACGGACCUGAAG